UCUUGGACACAUUGGUGCCUGUCAUUCAGAUCCCAGCUCCUCCGCUGGUUUACAGCCAGCUACACAAGAUGCAGUAACAUCAACACUUUCAGUAGACAAGGAGGUGUGAAAUAAGGACAGGACUUGUAGGUCAAGUUCUAACUUCUGAUUAACUUCAAAGUCCUGAUUGAGUAAUGGAGAUCAAAGCCCUCGGCAGCUGCUAUCACAAGAAGGAGCCUUCCGAACCCCCGCCCUCCGCCCCUGAAGCUUUCUGCAGAACUAAUGGGGCUUUGCUACUAGAAAGGAGCAAGCCGUCACUCUGGUCGGACGCCAGGCCGUGGUUGUAAGAGCUAUACAGGAUGUCUCCCAGCUCCCACAGCUGUGGUUCCACACUCAGAAAUGAAGUGGAUUUCCACUGGAGUGCACAGGUAAGUAUAUAUAUUUUAUUAUUUUCAUAACUAAGCUAAGAGUCAUCCUGUUGAUCUUAAAAUGACAUUGUGUUCUGUUAGUUUUAUUUAUUAAGGAUGCUGUUUUACUUUUUCUCUAAAACAAAUUCAGGAAGAUUUACUCAGCAUGUAGAAUCAAACUUUUAAGAACAGGUCCAAUGCACAGCACAGAAUGUGUGUCACAAACUUUCUGACCACGCUAGACCACUGACGAGCAUUUUAGAAGAAAACAAAAUGAAGAUAAUAAUAAGAAUCUGAAGCCAGCGAGGAAGUGAUUGUCUGAAAUUACCUGACAACUAAGACGAUCAAUUUCAGCUCCAGGAACAGCACUGCUUCUCUCAGGUUACCGUGGUUUGCUUAAGUGUCACUUAUUUGCUGGCAAAGCCAACUAUUUUAUUACGUAAUAUCUUAUUAUAAUUUCGUCUUCAUGAGUGAAUAUGUACAUUACAGUCAUACAGUACACUACAGUACCUGUAAAAGUUGCAAAGUACGUAUUUAUUAAUCCAAUCAAAUUAGUCACAAUGUUUGUGACCUUGCUACAGUAUCUGUAUGUAUUCAGUCACAAAUACAAAUACAUAUUGAUUCCUUUUAAAAGUGUAUUUUGAAGUUAAUGCCAAAGAAUAAGGUGCCAUAUUAACCUAUUUUGCACAGGUAUUACUGGCCCAAAUGUAUAUUUUGUUUUAAUAGAUUCUAAGACCUGUCAACUCUCCCAUAUUCACCGGGAGUCUCCUGUAUUUUGGACUCUCGGACAUCUUCCAGGACACAGCAUGUGUUGGGAUCCAAAGUGAGAAGCCAAGGAAACCGUAUCCACUCGGCGAGCCCUGUUUCCAUUGCCUGGGACGCAAUCCAGCUGAGGAUCCAGUGACAGAUCUGAAGUGAAAGCUGGGUGGUCCUCGUUCCAAUUUGCUCCCACACAACAUCUUCUCCUAACCACCGAAGCCAUACAUCUGCAAGGCAUCCACCAGUGCCGGUCAACAGUCAUCUCAAGCCAGCUCUACAUCUAGGUGGAGGCCAAGGAUUGGAUGGGCAUGGAGACAACAUUUCUACUUCAUCCCCUUGGAGGGUGAACCCUACAAGGCAGGCCUGAGGAAUGCCACUGGAUCACUUUUCAUUGGAGAAUUCUUCAAAAACAUAAAUUUCCUCAAACAUUUGAUUGGAGCAGUUCAUAGCAAUUUGAAACUCUGAGAGCAUCCCUUUCAUUAAAGAAGUAUUCCUUAAACCUUCAUACCGUUUGUUUUAAUUGAUCUAAUGUUUCAGUGGGCAGUAUGGUUGCCACCAGCGUUGCAGCCAGUUUAAUUUACACACACACACACACACACACACGUCUUUACAUUGAACUCUCAGUUCUUUCCUUACCUUCCUGCUUUCCACAAUGCUAACAUUGCUCAUGCACACGGCUUUCUCUUCAUUUGAGAGAUACCGUCUGGUGGAUCCACAUCAAUAAUUAACUAGAGCCUCAGAAGAUCUCCAGUGAGUUCAGUUUUACUCUCUGACUCUGAGUAGAUAAACCAAGCAGUAUUUCCUGUAGCAGACCUAGACACACACACUUAUUGGUUGUCAGUAUAAGUGGUUUUG